ACAACUGUAUUUGUCUUUGGGACCGGUCACAACCAUCGAUGGCUGUAUGGGUAGAGAUGGUUCUGCUAGCAAGUCAAUGCAGGUUCCUGAGAACCUGUAGCGGCGUGCCAUACCUGCCACAUAUCGAUAAGAAUCAUCCUGAUUUAUUUUCCCCCUUCGUGUCAGUUUCCGAGCUCCUAUCCACAGUUGCAAAGUGCCUCAAGACAAUAUUCUACGAGUGGCGCAACCCGUGGCUUGAAGAUCAUCGAACCAUGAAAAUUCAGAUGUUUCGAAACAACAAUGAAAAUAGAAACAUCUCCUAUCACGAAAGCAACCCUC
rnacentral:sRNA from 2 species